rnacentral:rRNA from 1 species
AGUCGAACGAGAAUCUGCGGAACGAGGAUUCGUCCAAGUGAAGCAGAGGACAGUGGCGGACGGGUGAGUAACGCGUGAGGAACCUGCCUUUCAGAGGGGGACAACAGUUGGAAACGACUGCUAAUACCGCAUGACACAUAGAUGUCGCAUGGCAUUUAUGUCAAAGAUUUAUCGCUGAAAGAUGGCCUCGCGUCUGAUUAGCUAGUUGGUGAGGUAACGGCCCACCAAGGCGACGGUCAGUAGCCGGACUGAGAGGUUGAACGGCCACAUUGGGACUGAGAUACGGCCCAGACUCCUACGGGAGGCAGCAGUGGGGAAUAUUGGGCAAUGGGCGCAAGCCUGACCCAGCAACGCCGCGUGAAGGAAGAAGGCUUUCGGGUUGUAAACUUCUUUUGUCAGGGACGAGUAGAAGACGGUACCUGACGAAUAAGCCACGGCUAACUACG